GACGAACGCUGGCGGCGUGCUUAACACAUGCAAGUCGAACGGAAAGGCCCUGCUUUUGUGGGGUGCUCGAGUGGCGAACGGGUGAGUAACACGUGAGUAACCUGCCCUUGACUUUGGGAUAACUUCAGGAAACUGGGGCUAAUACCGGAUAGGAGCUCCUGCUGCAUGGUGGGGGUUGGAAAGUUUCGGCGGUUGGGGAUGGACUCGCGGCUUAUCAGCUUGUUGGUGGGGUAGUGGCUUACCAAGGCUUUGACGGGUAGCCGGCCUGAGAGGGUGACCGGCCACAUUGGGACUGAGAUACGGCCCAGUCUCCUACGGGAGGCAGCGGGGGGGAAUAUUGCACAAUGGGCGGGAGCCUGAUGCAACAACGCCGCGUGCGGGAUGACGGCCUUCGGGUUGUAAACCGCUUUCGCCUGUGACGAAGCGUGAGUGACGGUAAUGGGUAAAGAAGCACCGGCUAACUACGUG
rnacentral:rRNA from 1 species